CUGGAAGACUAACUUUCUAUAUUUAAAGUAGAGUAAUUUAUUAAUGUUCGACAUCAGUCUCAGCCUGGGUGGAGUCAUUUGCCCUAUUGGCCCUAACUCGAGGAGUUCUUGGCUAAAUAAUUUUCCUGCAUAGCCAACUCUAAGGAAUUCCUUCAUAGUCGUAGACUUUCGGUCAGUCGAUGUUGAGGAUCUAGGUGCAAAACAAGGAACAAGGUGCAGAAAGUUGGACAGAACUGGCACAUAAAUCAAAGCUAGGAGCGCGGCAGCUGGCAGUUUGUGAAUAGUUCUGUCGGGCCACCGCGUAUGACAUUCGAUUACAUCUGUUCCAGGGGAAAAAUAUAUCUGAAAUUUGUGAGCCUCUGAGGCUCGGAAAUUAAAACAACGUGUUUCAAUACCGAUUUCAAUUUUAGAUACUAAUUGAUGGCUUUAUUUUAAAGAAAAUUGAAUUUUGCUGUUCUAUGAUAAUAUAUGAUUUUCUUUUUUGAGUUCCAAUAGUUAUUGUCGUAAUUAAAGUAUGUAUAUUGCGGAAAUUAGGGUUCACUUUAUAAUUUUUAGAAAAUCGAUAAUUAUUACAUUCCAAGAGCGAUCCGUAAGUGUAAGUGACAAAAUUAAAAAAUAUUUAUUUAAGGUCAGCUCUAGAGAAGGGUCAGGGGUACCACCUGAGGGUAGGGUCGGCAAAGCGCUUGGUGUUGCAAAGAAAUAUAGACUACGGUAACAAUUUACUAUCAGGUGGAUCGUACGCUUGUUUGCAUAGAGGUAUAAAACAAA
rnacentral:misc_RNA from 1 species